UUUUUUUAGUGAAUGGAGAGAUAUCUCCUCCUGCCAUUGCAGUCGAAGCUGAUGGGAUUGCUCGAUCUGAAAAUUUGGGUUACAUAAAUGGUCAUGUGCAGCCUCAAGUAGCUGCAUUUCUUGCAGCUGUUGCUCCCAAUCCCUCCAUCCUUCCCUAUGUGCCUGAUGUGGUCCAUGCAGAAAGCAACAAAGACCUGUCCAACCCCCUGGACACUGCCAGCCUUGAUCUUCAAUCUGCACAUGUCACCAACACCCAAGCCUCACCUCAGAUAACAGAGCACCCCGAUGAUCCAGUGCCACACCACUUACACAUUCAGCAGCAUCUUAAACUGCAUAUUAAACCA